rnacentral:rRNA from 1 species
UACGUAGGGUGCAAGCGUUGUCCGGAAUUAUUGGGCGUAAAGAGCUCGUAGGCGGUCUGUCACGUCGGCUGUGAAAACCCGAGGCUCAACCUCGGGCCUGCAGUCGAUACGGGCAAACUAGAGUACUGCAGGGGAGACUGGAAUUCCUGGUGUAGCGGUGAAAUGCGCAGAUAUCGGGAGGAACACCGGUGGCGAAAGGCGGCCAUCUGGACGGAUACUGACGCUGAGACGCGAAAGCGUGGGGAGCAAACAGG